rnacentral:rRNA from 1 species
AGAUUUAGUGGGCCAUUCCAUCCAGCGAGUAAAGCUUUACCCGUGACAUUAUCCAAGUGUGGGAACCGCCACAGCGAUCGUUGGGUGAUAUCCGCAGCCAGGACUGCUUCUGUUUUGGUGCAACGACUAAGUCGUAAUGGCCGGCCCUGCCGGUAAAGAGAUAGUCUCAAUCUCGUGGGGAGACCCAUGACAGCUUUUGCAUUAAAUCAGUUAUCGUUUAUUUGAUAAUACCUUACCACUUGGAUAACUGUGGUAAUUCUAGAGCUAAUACAUGCUAAAAACCCCGACUUCGGAAGGGGUGUAUUUAUUAGAUAAAAAACCAAUGCCCUUCGGGGCUCCUUGGUGAUUCAUAAUAACUUAACGAAUCGCAUGGCCUUGCGCCGGCGAUGGUUCAUUCAAAUUUCUGCCCUAUCAACUUUCGAUGGUAGGAUAGUGGCCUACCAUGGUCUUAACGGGUAACGGGGAAUUAGGGUUCGAUUCCGGAGAGGGAGCCUGAGAAACGGCUACCACAUCCAAGGAAGGCAGCAGGCGCGCAAAUUACCCAAUCCCAAUCCGGGGAGGUAGUGACAAUAAAUACUGAUACAGGGCUCUUUCGGGUCUUGUAAUUGAAAUGAGAAAAAUCUAAAUCCCUUAACGAGGAACAAUUGGAGGGCAAGUCUGGUGCCAGCAGCCGCGGUAAUUCCAGCUCCAAUAGCGUAUAUUAAAGUUGUUGCAGUUAAAAAG